rnacentral:rRNA from 1 species
GAUGAACGCUAGCGGGAGGCUUAAUACAUGCAAGUCGAACGGUAAGGUCUUGCUUGCAAGAUACACGAGUGGCGCACGGGUGAGUAACGCGUACACGACCUACCUUUAAGAGGGGGAUAGCCCUGGGAAACUGGGAGUAAUACCCCAUAAUAUUACUUUAGUAAGUAUAGUAAUUAAAGCUACGGCGCUUAAAGAUGGGUGUGCGUUCUAUUAGCUAGUUGGUAAGGUAACGGCUUACCAAGGCGACGAUAGAUAGGGGGCGUGAGAGCGUGAACCCCCACACGGGUACUGAGACACGGACCCG